rnacentral:rRNA from 1 species
UACGUAGGGGGCUAGCGUUGUCCGGAAUCAUUGGGCGUAAAGCACGCGUAGGCGGCCCGGUAAGUCCGCUGUAAAAGUCCAGGGCUCAACCCUGGAAAGCCGGUGGAUACUGUCGGGCUCGAGUCCGGAAGAGGCGAGUGGAAUUCCUGGUGUAGCGGUGAAAUGCGCAGAUAUCAGGAGGAACACCAAUGGCGAAGGCAGCUCGCUGGGACGGUACUGACGCUGAGACGCGAAAGCGUGGGGAGCAAACAGG